UAUGAGGGCGAUCUGGCUGCGACAUGUGUGACCCCAUUGAUUGCCAGGGUUGAUUUGGCUGAUCUCGCUGGCUAGACGGGUAUCCCCUUCCUCCCUCACCGCUCCAUGUGCGUCCCUCCCAAAGGUGCGCACUCUGUCAAAGAAGAUAGCCUUCCCGGAAUAGAGAUGGACUGGUCUUCGGUCGAGGGUAUACGAGUAGCUGCAUUCCCCUGCUAGAACCUCCAAAUUUUUUAAAUGUUAAAUAAAUGUUUAAUGUUUCUUCCUUUGGGAAAAAGGAGAAAAGGCUUUUUUUUUUUUUAAGAAAUACUUUCCCCCAAG
rnacentral:snRNA from 1 species